GAUGAACGCUAGCGGCAGGCUUAAUACAUGCAAGUUGAGGGGCAGCAUGAUAUACGCGAGUAUAUUGAUGGCGACCGGCGGACGGGUGAGUAAUAGGUAGGAGACCUACCUCAUACAGGGGGAUAGCAUAGAGAAAUCUGUGGUAAUACCCCAUGAGGUUAUAUGAAUAGAGGCAUAUAAUCAAAGCAUAAGCGAUUAUGCGGUAUGAGAGGGGCCUACUGACCAUUAGCUAGUUGGUGAGGUAAGGGCUCACCAAGGCGAAGAUGGUUAGGGGUUUUGAGAGAGAGACCCCCCACAUUGGAACUGAGAGACGGUCCAGACUCCUACGGGAGGCAGCAGUAGGGAAUAUUGGGCAAUGGGCGAAAGCCUGACCCAGCCAUGCCGCGUGAAGGAAGACAGCCUUAUGGGUUGUAAACUUCUUUACUACGCGAAUAGAGGUUAGUACGAGAUACUAAUAGGAAGGUAGUGUAGUAAAAGCACCGGCUAACUCG
rnacentral:rRNA from 1 species